rnacentral:lncRNA from 1 species
CUUUCUCUACACAUUACUUAAUGUCUCAAAACAACUUAAGGAGGUGCAUCACCAAAUUAUAUACAAGCUAAGAGAGUUUUCUCUUCUUGGUGAUGAUCUCCUAUAUAUAACUCAUCAAAGAGAAUUAAUUCCAUUACAAGUUGAGAAAGAUUUACACAUGUACUUUCUCUCAUAUUUUCCAUUUAACAAAUUACACAAGCAUUUGGAUUCUCUUCCAUACUUUGAACAUAGUAAUAUGUGGUCAUGUGGGGAUUAUAUGCCCUAUAAGCCUUCACCAUCUCUAAAACAGGAUCAGGUGCUGGCUCUUUCUUUUUCUCCUCUUCUUUCUUUUCCCCUUCUUCUUUCUUCUCUUCCUUUUUCUCUUCUUCUUUCUUUGGUUCUUCCUUCUUUUCCCCUUCUUUCUUCUCUUCUUCCUUCUUUGCUUCUUCUUUCUUUUCUUCUUCUUUCUUUGGUUCUUCUUUCUUUGGCUCUUCUUUCUUCUCUGGCUCCUUUGCUGGUCCUACUGAGAUUAUAUCUGCUUGCCAAUAUUUUCGAAGUUUGCUCACAAUUUUUACCGGAUCCACGGUUCCUACCACGGUUAAUUUCUUCUCCUUCAUGUCCAUGGUGAUGGCAUCAAUCCCUACAUAUCGUUGCACAAGUUGAACUUAAGUUAUAAAAUCAUCUACGAAAAGUGCAUGUUUGUAAUGAGUUUAGCAUAAUCACGAUGUAUGACCUUAAUUUUGAUUUGAAGAAAAGUAUCUUCAAUGUUUAAACAAAAAUACAAUGUUACCAUGAUUUCAUCGAACCACCAUUGUUCUAAACAUGCACUAAAACGUCAAAUUUUACAGAGACAAAAUAGAUUUGUUGUGGUCAAAUAUUUCUUAGUCACCAAUCUCAUCUUUAUCCAAGAGUUGAGUAUAGUGACAAUAUAAAUUUCUUAUUGUGCACACAAGAACUUAAUUCAAAGCUGAUUUAUUAAAAGUUGACCAAUUAAAAAAGGUGUCACAUUAAGUGAACUUAAUUCAAAGUUGACAAAGCAAAAAGUUUAAAGCAGAAUAUAUGGAAUAUUUGGUCAGCAUUUUCAUUGAAUUGGAUCUUGUGUCCAAAUUAUUUUAAAUACAUCAAAUACACCUUCAGAUCACUAUUAUAAACAAAAAUUUACAUUUUAGGUUCCUCAAUUAAUGAAUCUAAAAUGUUAUUUUUGUUUAUAAAAGUGACCAAAGUAUAUGUAUAUUCCAAAUAAAUUCGCAACUCAAUUUACUUGAGUUUGUUUUUGACAAGAACUUAAUUUACUUGAUCAUAAAUCAUCCUUACUCCUCAGUGAAGUCCUUGCAAGAUUUAUUUAAUAGUGUAACAAAAUAUUACAAGCACUAUACGACAGACAGACAGCACAGAAUUUUUCAUCAAAAAUGGAAAAUAAAAUAGACAGCAUAGAGUUUUAUUUAUCCAGAUUAUGUGAAUCAAAUACAUAAUAGUCUAAAUGCUGACUACUGGUGUCAAUUCUUGCUAUAAAUGCACCUAUAUAUGAAAUACAUGAAAGUGGAUGCAUCAUACAUGUUCCUUUCAAAUCACGAAAACUCAUUUCAUAACAUUUUAUUAUAACCACUGGACAAUUGUUAUUUUAUGACGUACUAACUGAUAAGGUCGUUGUCAAUUUUAGUAAAAAAAGUUACUAUAUAUAAUACCAAAAGUAAAACGCAAUUAGCAUAUUUCCUCUACAAAAAAGUUACUAUAAUACCAAAAAUAAUUAUAUGUUUUUUUUACUCCUCUAAAAAAAAUUAUUUUUUUACUUUUAAAAUAAUUAUAUUUGUAUUAUCAAAGACACUGUAUAUUCAACAAGUAUGAAUGCCAUAAUUUUUAUGAUGAACUAUGAUAUAUAUAAAAAAUAUAUUAAAAUAAUAUUUUGUAUGAUAAUAAAAUGUAAAGCCUACUUAGAGAAUAGAGUGUCAAAGUUUGUCGAGUCUAGCGGAAUGAGUUAGUCGCUCAUAACGUGAUGAAUUAACAUUCAAAUAUGAGUUGCAAGAAGUAUUUACAUUUAAUCUUUGAUUUUGUUUUGAAUAUAAUUACUUUUAGCAGAGAGAAUCCAUCUAUUAAAACAAAAAGAAGAGAAUUAUGCAAAAUAAAAAUAAAAAUAGAGUCCUAACUUGAUUAAAAAACAAUAUAGUUUGCAUUGUAGAUCAAAUGUCACGUGUCAAUGAAUGAUAUUGGAGGUUUUGUCACCUACCACUAACGGGUUACCCAUCAAUUUAUUCUCCUACAACCAGAUCUCAAAAUUUUAUAACAUUCCCUUGAUUUGUAUAUUCUUAAAAAAAUCAUUAAUUAGGUGUCACAACUAUUAUAUUGUUGAACAAUUAUUUGGUACCUGAAAGUGUUGAGACUGUCUUCAAGGCCUUCUGCUUUGCCUUAUCAUCUUCCAAAUCUAAUUUGAGCACAAACUUC